UACAGAGGGGGCAAGCGUUGUUCGGAAUUACUGGGCGUAAAGCGCACGUAGGCGGCUUUGUAAGUUAGAGGUGAAAGCCCGGGGCUCAACUCCGGAAUUGCCUUUAAGACUGCAUCGCUCGAAUUGUGGAGAGGUAAGUGGAAUUCCGAGUGUAGAGGUGAAAUUCGUAGAUAUUCGGAAGAACACCAGUGGCGAAGGCGACUUACUGGACACAUAUUGACGCUGAGGUGCGAAAGCGUGGGGAGCAAACAGG
rnacentral:rRNA from 1 species